rnacentral:rRNA from 1 species
GACGAACGCUGGCGGCGUGCUUAACACAUGCAAGUCGAGCGGUAAGGCCCUUUCGGGGGUACACGAGCGGCGAACGGGUGAGUAACACGUGGGUGACCUGCCCUCAGCUCUGGGAUAAGCCCGGGAAACUGGGUCUAAUACUGGAUAUUACUCUGCGGUGCAUGCCGUGGGGUGGAAAGCCUUGUGCGGCUGGGGGAUGGGCCCGCGGCCUAUCAGCUUGUUGGUGGGGUGAUGGCCACCAAGGCGACGACGGGUAGCCGGCCUGAGAGGGCGACCGGCCACACUGGGACUGAGACACGGCCCAGACUCCUACGGGAGGCAGCAGUGGGGAAUCUUGCGCAAUGGGCGAAAGCCUGACGCAGCGACGCCGCGUGAGGGAUGACGGCCUGGUGU